UGUUAGCGGCGGACGGGUGAGUAACACGUGGAUAACCUACCUAUAAGACUGGGAUAACUUCGGGAAACCGGAGCUAAUACCGGAUAAUAUUUUGAACCGCAUGAUUCAAAAGUGAAAGACGGUCUUGCUGUCACUUAUAGAUGGAUCCGCGCUGCAUUAGCUAGUUGGUAAGGUAACGGCUUACCAAGGCAACGAUGCAUAGCCGACCUGAGAGGGUGAUCGGCCACACUGGAACUGAGACACGGUCCAGACUCCUACGGGAGGCAGCAGUAGGGAAUCUUCCGCAAUGGGCGAAAGCCUGACGGAGCAACGCCGCGUGAGUGAUGAAGGUCUUCGGAUCGUAAAACUCUGUUAUUAGGGAAGAACAUAUGUGUAAGUAACUGUGCACAUCUUGACGGUACCUAAUCAGAAAGCCACGGCUAACUACGUGCCAGCAGCCGCGGUAAUACGUAGGUGGCAAGCGUUAUCCGGAAUUAUUGGGCGUAAAGCGCGCGUAGGCGGUUUUUUAAGUCUGAUGUGAAAGCCCACGGCUCAUACCGUGGAGGGUCAGUGGAAACUGGAAAACUUGAGUGCAGUAAGAGGAAAGUGGAAUUCCAUGUGUACGGUGAAAUGCGCAGAGAUAUGGAGGAACACCAGUGGCCGAAGGCGUACUUUCUUGGUCUGUAACUGACGCUGAUGUGCGAUAGCGUGGGGUAUCAAAUCAGGAUUAGAUACCGCUGGUAGUCCACGCCUGUAUACUGAUGAGUGUCUAAGUGCUUAGGGGGUUUCCGCCCCUUAGGUGCUGCAGCU
rnacentral:rRNA from 1 species